GAUGAACGCUGGCGGCGUGCCUAAUACAUGCAAGUCGAGCGAACAGACGAGGAGCUUGCUCCUCUGACGUUAGCGGCGGACGGGUGAGUAACACGUGGAUAACCUACCUAUAAUACUGGGAUAACUUCGGGAAACCGGAGCUAAUACCGGAUAAUAUAUUGAACCGCAUGGUUCAAUAGUGAAAGACGGUUUUGCUGUCACUUAUAGAUUGAUCCGCGCCGCAUUAGCUAGUUGGUAAGGUAACGGCUUACCGAGGCAACGAUGCGUAGCCGACCUGAGAGGGUGAUCGGCCACACUGGAACUGAGACACGGUCCAGACUCCUACGGGAGGCAGCAGUAGGGAAUAUUCCGCAAUGGGCGAAAGCUUGACGGAGCAACGCCGCGUGAGUGAUGAAGGUCUUCGGAUCGUAAAACUCUGUUAUUAGGGAAGAACAAAUGUGUAAGUAACUAUGCACGUCUUGACGGUACCUAAUCAGAAAGCCACGGCUAACUACGUG
rnacentral:rRNA from 1 species